GACGAACGCUGGCGGCGUGCUUAACACAUGCAAGUCGAACGGAAAGGCCCCCACUUUUUUGGUGGGGGUGCUCGAGUGGCGAACGGGUGAGUAACACGUGGGUGAUCUGCCCUGUACUUCGGGAUAAGCUUGGGAAACUGGGUCUAAUACCGGAUAGGACCAUGGUUUAGUGUCUCAUGGUGGAAAAAUUAUUGUUUUGGUGCAGGAUGAGCUCGCGGCCUAUCAGCUUGUUGGUGGGGUAAUGGCCUACCAAGGCGUCGACGGGUAGCCGGCCUGAGAGGGUGGACGGCCACAGUGGGACGGAGAUACGGCCCAGACUCCUACGGGAGGCAGCAGUGGGGAAUAUUGCACAAUGGGCGCAAGCCUGAUGCAGCGACGCCGCGUGGGGGAUGACGGCCUUCGGGUGGUAAACUCCUUUCGUUAGGGACGAAGCCGCACCUUUUUUGGGUGUGGUGACGGUACCUUUGUUAAGAAGCACCGGCUAACUACGUG
rnacentral:rRNA from 1 species